rnacentral:rRNA from 1 species
AUACGUAGGGUGCGAGCGUUGUCCGGAAUUACUGGGCGUAAAGAGCUCGUAGGUGGUUUGUCGCGUCGUCUGUGAAAUUCCGGGGCUUAACUCCGGGCGUGCAGGCGAUACGGGCAUAACUUGAGUACUGUAGGGGAGACUGGAAUUCCUGGUGUAGCGGUGAAAUGCGCAGAUAUCAGGAGGAACACCGGGGGCGAAGGCGGGUCGCUGGGCAGUAACUGACGCUGAGGAGCGAAAGCAUGGGUAGCGAACAGGAUUAGAUGCCCUGGUAGUCCAUGCUGUAAACGGUGGGCGCUAGGUGUAGGGGUCUUCCACGACUUCUGUGCCGUAGCUAACGCAUUAAGCGCCCCGCCUGGGGAGUACGGCCGCAAGGCUAAAACUCAAAGGAAUUGACGGGG